rnacentral:rRNA from 1 species
AUUGAACGCUGGCGGCAUGCCUUACACAUGCAAGUCGAACGGUAACAGGUCUUCGGAUGCUGACGAGUGGCGAACGGGUGAGUAAUACAUCGGAACGUGCCUAGUAGUGGGGGAUAACUACUCGAAGAGUGGCUAAUACCGCAUGAGAUCUACGGAUGAAAGCAGGGGAUCGCAAGACCUUGUGCUACUACGACGGCCGAUGACAGAUGAGGUAGUUGGUGGGAUAAAAGCUUACCAAGCCGACGAUCUGUAGCUGGUCUGAGAGGACGAUCAGCCACACUGGGACUGAGACACGGCCCAGACUCCUACGGGAGGCAGCAGUGGGGAAUUUUGGACAAUGGGCGCAAGCCUGAUCCAGCAAUGCCGCGUGCAGGAUGAAGGCCUUCGGGUUGUAAACUGCUUUUGUACGGAACGAAAAGCCCUGGGUUAAUACCCUGGGGUCAUGACGGUACCGUAAGAAUAAGCACCGGCUAACUACGUGCCAGCCGCCGCAGUAA